UGCCAGCAGCCGCGGUAAUGCGAAGGUCACAAGCGUUGUUCGGAAUUACUGGGCGUAAAGCGUACGUAGGCGGAUUAAUGAGUUAGAGGUGAAAUCCCAGGGCUCAACCCUGGAACUGCCUUUAAAACUGUUAGUCUUGAGAUCGAGAGAGGUGAGUGGAAUUCCAAGUGUAGAGGUGAAAUUCGUAGAUAUUUGGAGGAACACCAGUGGCGAAGGCGGCUCACUGGCUCGAUACUGACGCUGAGGUACGAAAGUGUGGGGAGCAAGCAGGAUUAGAUA
rnacentral:rRNA from 1 species